UACAGGCUUAACACAUGCAAGUCGAGGGGCAGCAUGGUCUUAGCUUGCUAAGGCCGAUGGCGACCGGCGCACGGGUGAGUAACACGUAUCCAACCUGCCGUCUACUCUUGGACAGCCUUCUGAAAGGAAGAUUAAUACAAGAUGGCAUCAUGAGUCCGCAUGUUCACAUGAUUAAAGGUAUUCCGGUAGACGAUGGAGAUGCGUUCCAUUAGAUAGUAGGCGGGGUAACGGCCCACCUAGUCUUCGAUGGAUAGGGGUUCUGAGAGGAAGGUCCCCCACAUUGGAACUGAGACACGGUCCAAACUCCUACGGGAGGCAGCAGUGAGGAAUAUUGGUCAAUGGGCGAGAGCCUGAACCAGCCAAGUAGCGUGAAGGAUGACUGCCCUAUGGGUUGUAAACUUCUUUUAUAAAGGAAUAAAGUCGGGUAUGGAUACCCGUUUGCAUGUACUUUAUGAAUAAGGAUCGGCUAACUCCGUGCCAGCAGCCGCGGUAAUACGGAGGAUCCGAGCGUUAUCCGGAUUUAUUGGGUUUAAAGGGAGCGUAGAUGGAUGUUUAAGUCAGUUGUGAAAGUUUGCGGCUCAACCGUAAAAUUGCAGUUGAUACUGGAUAUCUUGAGUGCAGUUGAGGCAGGCGGAAUUCGUGGUGUAGCGGUGAAAUGCUUAGAUAUCACGAAGAACUCCGAUUGCGAAGGCAGCCUGCUAAGCUGCAACUGACAUUGAGGCUCGAAAGUGUGGGUAUCAAACAGGAUUAGAUACCCUGGUAGUCCACACGGUAAACGAUGAAUACUCGCUGUUUGCGAUAUACUGCAAGCGGCCAAGCGAAAGCGUUAAGUAUUCCACCUGGGGAGUACGCCGGCAACGGUGAAACUCAAAGGAAUUGACGGGGGCCCGCACAAGCGGAGGAACAUGUGGUUUAAUUCGAUGAUACGCGAGGAACCUUACCCGGGCUUAAAUUGCAGAUGAAUUACGGUGAAAGCCGUAAGCCGCAAGGCAUCUGUGAAGGUGCUGCAUGGUUGUCGUCAGCUCGUGCCGUGAGGUGUCGGCUUAAGUGCCAUAACGAGCGCAACCCUUGUUGUCAGUUACUAACAGGUUCCGCUGAGGACUCUGACAAGACUGCCAUCGUAAGAUGUGAGGAAGGUGGGGAUGACGUCAAAUCAGCACGGCCCUUACGUCCGGGGCUACACACGUGUUACAAUGGGGGGUACAGAGGGCCGCUACCACGCGAGUGGAUGCCAAUCCCCAAAACCUCUCUCAGUUCGGACUGGAGUCUGCAACCCGACUCCACGAAGCUGGAUUCGCUAGUAAUCGCGCAUCAGCCACGGCGCGGUGAAUACGUUCCCGGGCCUUGUACACACCGCCCGUCAAGCCAUGGGAGCCGGGGGUACCUGAAGUGCGUAACCGCGAGGAGCGCCCUAGGGUAAAACUGGUGACUGGGGCUAAGUCGU
rnacentral:rRNA from 1 species